AGUGACAAGUGUAGUGAGACAGUCGUUGUCAUGGAUACGGACAUGGAGCCUACAUUCUCAACACAGAUACAGGACAUGACUACAGAGUUCAGAUUGAUGAAUCACUUUUACAGUGUUAUCAUUCCUUUAAGUUGAGAUAAUGUGCUGGGACGGGGGACGAUGGUGAGGCGCAGGGUAUUUCCAGCUCGACGGAGGAUCUGAGCGAGCUCCCGAUGAGGCAGGGUCACCACCGAUCGUCCCUCCACCGCCUCCAAUCGAUCACCGGGCCGGAUCUGACCGCUCUUGGCCGCCGGGCUGCCUCGACGGACCGUCACAAACCGAGUAAUCCCACUGCGGUAUGCCCAGCAGCCAGCCGAGCUCUGACGCGCUGCACUGAUCACCGCUCAGGAGUGGUAGCGAACUCCCCCCCUCCCCUCCCCUCCUCGCCCCGCCAUCGUAAAAUCCCCCUCUGCAGCCCAGAUGCAUCAGCCGGCGCACAUCACCACGGCAGCCUGCAGAUGCUUAAUGCAUGUUGAACACCAGAGAGAGUACUGUUGCACAAAUAUACAGCAGUGUGUAUGUGUGUGUGUGUGCAGGUUAGUAAAUUCUGAUCUAUUGCUCAACUUCA